rnacentral:ribozyme from 1 species
AAAAAAAAAAAAAAAAACAAAAAAAAAAAAAAAAAAAAAAAAAAUUUUUUUUUUUUUUUUUUUUUUUUUUGUUUUUUUUUUUUUUUU